UGGGGAAUAUUGGACAAUGGGCGAAAGCCUGAUCCAGCCAUGCCGCGUGUGUGAAGAAGGUCUUCGGAUUGUAAAGCACUUUAAGUUGGGAGGAAGGGCAGUUACCUAAUACGUGAUUGUUUUGACGUUACCGACAGAAUAAGCACCGGCUAACUCUGUGCCAGCAGCCGCGGUAAUACAGAGGGGGAAAGCGUUAAUCGGAAUUACUGGGCGUAAAGCGCGCGUAGGUGGUUUGUUAAGUUGGAUGUGAAAUCCCCGGGCUCAACCUGGGAACUGCAUUCAAAACUGACUGACUAGAGUAUGGUAGAGGGUGGUGGAAUUUCCUGUGUAGCGGUGAAAUGCGUAGAUAUAGGAAGGAACACCAGUGGCGAAGGCGACCACCUGGACUAAUACUGACACUGAGGUGCGAAAGCGUGGGGAGCAAACA
rnacentral:rRNA from 1 species